GACGUAGGGCGCGAGCGUUGUCCGGAUUUAUUGGGCGUAAAGAGCGUGUAGGCGGUCCGGUAAGUCCGUUGUGAAAGUCAGGGGCUCAACCCUUGAAUGCCGGCGGAUACUGUCGGGCUAGAGUCCGGAAGAGGCGAGUGGAAUUCCCGGUGUAGCGGUGAAAUGCGCAGAUAUCGGGAGGAACACCUAUGGCGAAGGCAGCUCGCUGGGACGGUACUGACGCUGAGACGCGAAAGCGUGGGGAGCAAACAGG
rnacentral:rRNA from 1 species